GGAUGUGAAGGCGAUCUGGCUGCAACAUCUGUCACCCCAUUGAUCUCCAGGGUUGAUUCGGCUGAACUGGCUGGCUAGGUGGGUGUCUCCUUCCUCCUUCACCGCUCCAUGUGAGUCCCUCCUUCAGCUGGGUGCUCAAUGGCAUGGCCUUCCCUGAAUAGAGACAGACUGGUCUUUGGUCGAAGGUAUAUGAGUAGCUGCGACCCCCUGCUAGAACUGACAAACAAGCUCUCAAGGUCCAUUUCUAGGAGAACAUAGGUAGUCAAGCUUCCAAGACUCCAGAUAUUAAGGCGCUGCAUGCAGCAGUCUGCCUUUUAAA
ensembl:misc_RNA 7SK 7SK RNA